UUGACCUCAAAUCAGGUAGGACUACCCGCUGAACUUAAGCAUAUCAAUAAGCGGAGGAAAAGAAACUAACAAGGAUUCCCCUAGUAACUGCGAGUGAAGAGGGAAAAGCUCAAAUUUAAAAUCUGGCAGCUUCGCUGUCCGAGUGC
rnacentral:rRNA from 1 species